rnacentral:lncRNA from 1 species
GUACCUUUAAAUGAACUCUUGAGCUUAGAUAAGUUACCUCCGUUAUUAAGUCUUAUUUUGCCUCAGGCAAUUCUGGUGCAUUUAGAGUCAAUACCGCCUUCAGUUUUCUCGGAGAAACUGGCCGAGAAGAUCCGAGAGAUGGUAACAGACGAUACUGAAGUUCUAGUGAAGCGGACCUCUGAAGAUGAGAUUCAGAUUCCAAGAGUUGAAAUAUUCAUCCGCAUGCCUCCUAGCAACAUCCUUGCAUCCAUCAAUAACACCAUUGUAAUAGACCCGGAAUUCAAGCUUAUCGAAAACAAAGAAGGAAGUCCAGAUGUGAAUGUCGAAAAUGCUAGCAAUGUUGAAGACUUGGGUCUACCCUCAAGGCAGAAUAAUGAAGCCCCCCCUUCACCUCUUAUUGGAGUUGUGACGCAUCUUGUGAAUACCAACUCAAAAGUUGAUGCCAAGCCCGUCAUCCCCAAAACCUCUUCCGCUCCUGAACAGAGUCAAAAAAAGAGGGACCUUGUCCCAGCUGUUAAGGACACCCCUUCUGAAUCUGGGAAACAUACUGGUUCCAGUCCCUCUGAUUUGCAGCCUUUUGAAUUACCGAAGACAAAGGAUGACACUUUGCAUGUUUAUGUUGUCAAUGUAGCUAAUCCUCACAAUUUUUCGAUUCAGACAGAAGAGUCACGGAAGACAUUGGAGAAUCUUGAAAAAGAAAUGAAUAAUUUUUACACCAAGUACCCACUAAGCAAGAAAAAAGACUUAGAAAUGGGCCAACUUAUGCUGUUCGGAUAGUGAAUGGAAAAUGGCAAAGGUUCACCAUCACUUCAUUUUUGGACACAGCUCAAUGCAUCGGAAGUUUCCCUGACACUGGCGGGCUUCAAAUAGUUCCUGUUCAAGACAUCUUUCCUUUGAUGCCAACUUACAAAAAGGAGCCUAUAAGCCUGCACUAGCAACCAGUGCCAAGUUAUCUGGUGAGUUUAAGAUCCUUUUCUUGACUAAAGCCUUGUCUUGUGGGACAUUUUCAUGAGAUUUGUCGCAGUGUUGAAAAGCGUUAAAGAAACUUCCGCGAUUUUUUGCAGUGAAGUUUUGUUUCAUCCGAUUUUUUUCCUUUCAUCUUGUAGCAAAGCAAUCAUGAAAGACUAAUUGAGUCACUGAGUUUCCAUUUUACCGAAAAAUUUAUUAUACAUUAGACA